rnacentral:lncRNA from 1 species
AAAAACAAUUUUAUACAAAAGUAACAAAUCAGCUAACUGCUGAAUAUAUAUAUAUAUAUAUCACCAACACAACCAUUAGAAAAGAUUUAUUGUAAAAUAAAACUCAUCCAAACAAUACUGAUUUUAAAAAAACAUUGACUAGAAACUGCAACCAAGAUUGGAAUGAGGAUUUAAGUGAAAAUUUGUAAAACAAAGGACAAAAAAAAAACCAAUCUAAACAAAAUGUGUGUUGUUUAAAGGUAUAUAACUUCAUUUUAAAUGACAGGAAUAAACUCACAAAAUGCACCAGUAUAGGGGGAAAACAGAUGUUGUUAUCAAAAUUAUAAUACUGAGUUAAAAAAAUUAAUACAUAUAUCAAUCAAGAAAAUUGACAUUACAUUUCUCAUAAAAAAAAGCCCACCAACAACAGCCUCGACUAAAAACAAUUUUGCACAAAAGUAACAAAUCAGCUAACUGCUGAAUAUACAUAUAUCACGAACACAACCACUAAUAAGAUUUAUUGUAGAAAUAUAUAAAAAAAACAUCUAUACCAUUCUGAUUUUUUUUUUUUUAACAUUGACUAGAAACUACAACCAAGAUUGGAAUGUUGAUUUAAGUUAAAUUUUAAAAUGAGUAAAACAUAUUCAACU